ensembl:lncRNA
GCAGGUGUAAAGUCCCAUGCUCACGUGGUGCUGGCCAGCAAACCCAGAUCUCCCUGCAUGCUAGAGAAACACUUCACCACAUCAUCUACAGACGCAGCCAAAUUUCCUUUCAAGGACAUGCCCAUCCUCUGAGAGUCCAACCCUAUGUUGAUUUUCCUCGUGACAGUGGGAUAUUUCAGCUCGGUGAUUACUCAGGUCACCCAGAGAGCUUAUUUGAUCCAAAGCUGCUGUAUCAGUCACCAGGCCUGAGUCAGAGCUUGGACAGGGCACAGCUGUAGCUCCCUGAACGGCAAAUACCUUGCCAUAGCGGUUGCUGGGGAAAUAUGUCGGAAACCUGUCUUCAGAGCUUGCUGGGAAUCUGCUGGGUGGGGUGCUGGGGAACGCUGUGGAUAGUGAGGAUAGAGGACAUUUCACUGGAGACACUUCACUGCGAAACCACCUGAAGGGGAGCUGGCCAGGGCCACUGUGUGCAGUAUAGACAAGUGUGGCCGAAGCUGCCCAUGCAGAUAGAUUAGGGUCUCGGCAGCUGCACUGAACAAAGUGAGCCUUAGUAACCGCAGAUCCGAAUUAUUGAAUUCAUGCAUGCCUCCCGUCUUGACCACGUUAGCCACGUUUUGUGUGGACAGGAACAGUGAGACUUGCAUGGUCCUGGCUAGACAAAGAGACUGCUGAUCUCUAUGGUGACCAAGCUGGACAGUACCUGCCUCCCUGCAGUGGGAGCCCUCCCAUGACUUUUCUGUGCAGUGUGGCUAUCGGUAUCCACUCGAGAGAAACCCAUCCACCCACACCUGCCUUCCCUAACGUCCCGGCCACAGACUGUCUUACUCCCUCCAUGCCUCUGACCCUUCAGGCCAAACAAUUUGUAACCGUGAGUGGAGUGGCUUUGAGCCGUCCUUCUGGCCACCUCUAACACUAGACAAACAUGCCUUCACUGUGCACUGCUGGGAGGGUUUCCCUUCACUGUCAUCCUCCAGGGGCCACAGAACUGCCCCCAUCCCCAGCGCUGCUGUCUACUCAUGAGCAGCUACAGCAACUGUAUGCACCGGCUUCUAAGACGGCUGUUUCUCUUUCUCAGACAGUGUAUUUAAACGCACUGGUCUCUAAAAUAACCAGGUAUUGUCUAAAAUGUCCUUCUGUGAGAAUCUUCUCUUCCCCAAACAACUCUAGACUUGUGGUUCCUGAAACUCCGGGCCAACAGCAAGUUCCACUGCCUUAACUUCUGAACACCGGUAAAAUACUUCCACAACUCCUGGGACGUUGUUUGGAAUUCAGAAUGACUCAUUUACACACUGACUCUCUACAAGAAAUGCAUUCAAGAACAUAUGAUGUCGCUCUUGGAUCAGAGCCAUCUGACGGCAGGAUUUGGAGGACACCUCUGAAAGGGCCCCAGAACAGAAGAAAACUGGCCCUGAUGUCCACGCUCAAAGUGCAAGC